CACGUAGGGCGCAAGCGUUGUCCGGAAUUAUUGGGCGUAAAGAGCUCGUAGGCGGUCUGUUGCGUCCGCUGUGAAAACUCGGGGCUUAACCCCGAGCCUGCAGUGGAUACGGGCAGACUAGAGGUAGGUAGGGGAGAAUGGAAUUCCCGGUGUAGCGGUGAAAUGCGCAGAGAUCGUAAGGAAGACCAGUGGCGAAGGCGGGUCUCUGGACAGUUCCUGACACUGAGGCACGAAGGCCAGGGGAGCAAACGGG
rnacentral:rRNA from 1 species